rnacentral:rRNA from 1 species
GACGAACGCUGGCGGCGUGCCUAAUACAUGCAAGUAGAACGCACAGUUUAUACCGUAGCUUGCUACACCAUAGACUGUGAGUUGCGAACGGGUGAGUAACGCGUAGGUAACCUGCCUGGUAGCGGGGGAUAACUAUUGGAAACGAUAGCUAAUACCGCAUAAUAUUAAUUAUUGCAUGAUAAUUAAUUGAAAGGUGCAAUUGCACCACUACCAGAUGGACCUGCGUUGUAUUAGCUAGUAGGUGAGGUAACGGCUCACCUAGGCGACGAUACAUAGCCGACCUGAGAGGGUGAUCGGCCACACUGGGACUGGGACACGGCCCAGACUCCUACGGGAGGCAGCAGUAGGGAAUCUUCGGCAAUGGACGAAAGUCUGACCGGGCAACGCCGCGUGAGUGAAGAAGGUUUUCGGAUCGUAAAGCUCUGUUGUAAGAGAAGAACGGGUGUGAGAGUGGAAAGUUCACACUGUGACGGUAUCUUACCAGAAAGGGACGGCUAACUACGUG